GUUGUCGUGGCUGAGUGGUUAAAGCGAUAAACUAUAAAUCUUUUGGGAUCUUCCCGCGCAGGUUCAAAUCCUGCCGACAUCA
rnacentral:tRNA from 1 species